AGAUCCAUCAUCAAAGCUAACGGGACUUUUACGAUCCAACACUUCGGUGAAGAGAUAGAUAAGAGACUCAUUAUCAGAGUAAGCAGGUCUCUUACCUUCUUUUACAAAUUUACUCGUUCGGGUCUUUAUUUCUAUAUCGCCCUUUUUAUUUAUCUUUGGAGGAAAUUUCCUCCUCUUUCUAGUGAUUUCUUUUUACUAACGCCUCCUCUCUCUCUAACCCAUGACUUGGAAUCAUGUCCAUACUUUAUCAUUUCUACCCACAACAAUUAACUUCAAAUAUAAUCAUCACCCCCAAAUUCUAUCACACUACUAAAAUUAUCUCAGAAACCUUAAAUUAUGUUUGAUUUUGAUUUGCGGUAGGAUAGGGGGGGUUUACUAGUGGCGACGGUGAACUAUGCAGAUAACACCGAAGCAAAGAAGCUUUAUAUCAUAUAAGUAUUAAUGAAGGGGAACAAGGGUGGACAUUAGAAGAUAACACAGAUCUUCGUACGAAGGUUAUGCCUAUGCCUGAUAUUAUUGUUAGGCAACAUAAGCCUUAGCACCGAAUAAAUGGGGUCAUCGGGAUGGGCAAAAGCGGGGACUUAAUUUCAUAAAGUUGAGUAAGUAAUUAUUCAUUUAAAUUUUCUCAUUUUUUAAGUUAUUAAUUGUUCUCACUAUUUUGUGAUUCUUGUUAAUUUGUAUUCAGGUUGAAUGGAAAUAAAUGAACUCUUGAGUGCCAAUCAAAUGAACUUAGAGACUGCAAUGUUGAUUACGUUGGCUUUAUCAAGAUUUGAGAACUAUAAUUUGGUCUAUCUGCCAGUAGAUCUCCGUAGUUUAUUCUUGUAAAUUUCAUUUAGUUUUUACUUAUAAAUUUAGAUUUCAAUUAGUUUUA